AAACAAAUAAACAGAUAAACAAAUAAAAAAAAAAAAAAAUUUACACAGGGUGUAUGUAUGAACAACUCGUAUAAACAAUGAAAGACCUAUUAAGAAGAAAGACGAUUGUUUCUUUUGUAUAUACAAUAUUAUUACUAUACCUGAAACCAGUGAGUUCCUACAUGGAUGCGUCGAUAUUAAACGAUGACAUUUUAAAUAAUUUUAUAAAAGGUGAUAUUGAAUAUAUGGGUAAUCAUUUAUCAUAUAAUGACAAUAAUAGUUCUAACAAGAGAAAGAAAAGAAUUGAUUCGAGUGUUAAUGAUUUAUUAUUAUUAAGUGUAUUAUCCGAAAUAAUACCAUCUAAUUUUUCCGUUUAUUCGGUUGCUUAUUCUAAUGACGUUAUAGAUGUAGAUAAUAAUAUAAAUAGUGUUCCUAGUUAUGACAAUAGUACUAUUGUAUAUACUAUUAAUGAGAAUCCUUUUAUAGACCUAACAAACAUGUAUGAUAGUGAUUUUAUUAACACAGUAACUGAUUAUUUAAAUAAAACUCAACCAAUAAAAGGAUGUGAGGCAGAUAUAAAUACUCACAGUUGUCAUAAAAAUGUAUUAUCUUGUAUCAGUUUAAAAAAGAACUAUUUAUCAGAAAGCUGUAAAAAAACCUUAAAUAAUUCUUUAUUAUAUUCAUGUAAUGAUGAUAUUUCCAAAUACUGUGAUAAUAAUUAUACUAAAUUUUCAAAAGUAUAUAAAUGUUUAAAAAAAAAUUUUUACCAUUUAACUUAUGAUUGUUUAAAUAUUUUAAGUUACUAUGAAAACGUUAUGCAAAAGUUACAUGAAGUCAAGAACAAACCAUAUAGCUUACAAGAACAUUUGUUAUUAGAAGAUAAUAGUGAUAGUAGUUAUAUAAAAACGAGAAAUAGUAGUAUUGAUGGAAGCACUGACCAAAAUAAUAAUGAGAGUGAUAACUUAAAAGAAACAAGUAAAGGUAAACAGAAUAAAAAAGGAAAAAAUAAUAAUGCUGUAAAUACUACCAAACCAACGAUGGUUGAAAAUUUAAGAAAAGGAUAUAGCCAUUAUUUUUUACCCAAAACUACUCAAAAUUUCUUAUUUAACUACAAUUCACAAGCAAAUUAUAAAUUUAGCUAUGUGUUAUGCUUUAUUAAAUAUUUUUUGAUUGCACUUAUAUUAUAUAUUUUUGUAGUUUACGUUAGAAAAUAUUAUAUUAAAGAUUCAUUAGGAUUGUUUGGUAAUAAUACUCAGGAAAAAUUAGCCCAACUGUGAGGACUGUCAUAUAUACAUAUAUAUAUAUAUAUAUAUAUACAACUAUUUGAUAUAAACAAAUUAUAACAGUUUUAACAAUUUAGUAGAUACAUUGAACAAUACUAUUAUGUUUCAGUUUUUGUGUACAUGUUUAUUUUUAGAUUUUUUAUAUAUAAU
rnacentral:lncRNA from 1 species